rnacentral:rRNA from 1 species
CGCGGCCUUAUCAGCUUGUUGGUGAGGUAAUGGCUCACCAAGGCGACGACGGGUAGCCGGCCUGAGAGGGCGACCGGCCACACUGGGACUGAGACACGGCCCAGACUCCUACGGGAGGCAGCAGUGGGGAAUAUUGCACAAUGGGCGAAAGCCUGAUGCAGCGACGCCGCGUGAGGGAUGACGGCCUUCGGGUUGUAAACCUCUUUCAGCAGGGAAGAAGCGAAAGUGACGGUACCUGCAGAAGAAGCGCCGGCUAACUACGUGCCAGCAGCCGCGGUAAUACGUAGGGCGCGAGCGUUGUCCGGAAUUAUUGGGCGUAAAGAGCUCGUAGGCGGCUUGUCGCGUCGGUUGUGAAAGCCCGGGGCUUAACCCCGGGUCUGCAGUCGAUACGGGCAGGCUAGAGUUCGGUAGGGGAGAUCGGAAUUCCUGGUGUAGCGGUGAAAUGCGCAGAUAUCAGGAGGAACACCGGUGGCGAAGGCGGAUCUCUGGGCCGAUACUGACGCUGAGGAGCGAAAGCGUGGGGAGCGAACAGGAUUAGAUACCCUGGUAGUCCAUUCCGUA